GGCCUUCUGUCCUCACAGGAGUCCCGCAGAAGACCCUGGUGGGCUCGUAGUCCAGGGGUGUCAUGUCAAUCGGGUGCUGUUCAAGUCAUGGUGACAAGGCAGGAUAGUCCUGUGUAGGGGUC